CUGUUGGAAGACUUGAUUCAGUUCUGGCCAGAAGAUGCAAAUUAUUUAUGCAUUUAAGAAGAUGUAAUGAGCACAGAGACUUAAAAAAAGAGUUCAGCUAAUAGCGAAUACAUCCUGCUGUAGGACGCCUCUGAUGAUGCAUUUGCAGUCUUGUCGGCGGAAAUUUAGAGAGAAAUAUUGUGUUUAGUCAGUGAAACAUGUAUGGGUUCUGAAAAAGUGCUUAAAAAACUUUGGCGAUGCUGAAGAAGACAGCUGGAAGGCGGAAUCUUUACGGUUUACGUUUUAAGCCAUGAGAAAUUCGAUUAAGAAAUUUGGACACGCCUGGUUUCAUUAUAUUUGUGGAUGCAGCGAUACGGUUCUGUCCAAAAGUCUCCAACAUGUGAAGGAAAAGUUGAACCCCUUGGAGCAAUAAAUGGAGCAUUAAACGAGAAUUUCACAGCAGUUCCUAGCAUUCUUAAUGGAUGCAAUCAACAGGUGGGAAAGGAGUAUUUACGUUUCUUACAAGAUAUUAUAGGGGGCCGUUAAAGAAAUAUUAUGUUCGAGUAUCUGAGUACCAUUAACGAAUACCAACUAUGAGACCAACAUUGUUGAAUGAGAUCAGCAAUACAUCAAUUAUUACUUGUCUCGCUCAAGAGUAUAAUAUUCC